rnacentral:rRNA from 1 species
AUGGGUUGGGACACAGUAGUUGAACGUGCCCAUUUGAGUCUUCUUUUCGGACACAAUAUCACGGCCGGGCGUACGAACCAGAUAAGACUGUCCACCAAGUGUGCGCUGGCUCGGCUGGCUCCCCAACCCAAACAAACGAGUUUUCUCGCAUACAUGCUACCACUUCGGCUCAGCAUUACUGUGGCAUCUCUGCCCUGCUAUUUCACCAGUCCUUCCUUGACAUAUACUCUCCUCCUGGUGGUGUGUGUUUUACUUCAACAUUUUGCUGGGAUCAUAAGAUGGCAAGAUAUGGUGGUGCAGUACGGGCUAGCUGCCGGAUGUUCGACCAUCAAGGACUACUGA